rnacentral:lncRNA from 1 species
UCCUUUUGGGUUUUCAACUUAGCGAGCUGUUAUUUUUUGUUCAAUCCCUAACUUUUGCAUGGACAUUUCUUUUUUUGGGUCCAUCGGGAUAGCCAUUUUUUCCUAGAUUGGUUCUGACGAGUACCAAUAUAGCGGGCUUUGGAUCUUAGGCAUAAUAUUUUUUGACUAUAUAUGAGUUUACUGGCAUGUGUAACAUCUCAAAAUUU